rnacentral:rRNA from 1 species
GUGAAAACUCGAGGCUCAACCUCGAGCUUGCAUCGGGUACGGGCAGACUAGAGUGCGGUAGGGGAGACUGGAAUUCCUGGUGUAGCGGUGGAAUGCGCAGAUAUCAGGAGGAACACCGAUGGCGAAGGCAGGUCNNNGGGCCGCAACUGACGCUGAGGAGCGAAAGCAUGGGGAGCGAACAGGAUUAGAUACCCUGGUAGUCCAUGCCGUAAACGUUGGGCACUAGGUGUGGGGCUCAUUCCACGAGUUCCGUGCCGCAGCAAACGCAUUAAGUGCCCCGCCUGGGGAGUACGGCCGCAAGGCUAAAACUCAAAGGAAUUGACGGGGGCCCGCACAAGCGGCGGAGCAUGCGGAUUAAUUCGAUGCAACGCGAAGAACCUUACCAAGGCUUGACAUGCACGGGAAGCCACCAGAGAUGGUGGUCUCUUUGGACACUCGUGCACAGGUGGUGCAUGGUUGUCGUCAGCUCGUGUCGUGAGAUGUUGGGUUAAGUCCCGCAACGAGCGCAACCCUCGUCCCAUGUUGCCAGCGGGUUAUGCCGGGGACUCAUGGGAGACUGCCGGGGUCAACUCGGAGGAAGGUGGGGAUGACGUCAAAUCAUCAUGCCCCUUAUGUCUUGGGCUUCACGCAUGCUACAAUGGCCGGUACAAAGGGCUGCGAUACCGUAAGGUGGAGCGAAUCCCAAAAAGCCGGUCUCAGUUCGGAUUGGGGUCUGCAACUCGACCCCAUGAAGUCGGAGUCGCUAGUAAUCGCAGAUCAGCAA